UUUAAGUCUGCCGAGCGCUAGACUGCGGCACAACCAUUUUAAUGAGCAAAAUGGAUCUCGACACGGUUUACUCACCCCUGUUGAUUUAUGGCGGUCAUGACAAUGAUGGAAAAGCUCAGAUUUCCCGGGCCAGCUGAUCUACAAACCAAGUCCCAAACGUGGUCAUCUUUGGCAUCCUCUCUCACCCUUAUAAUGCACUUGCUGCAUCUCACCAACCACUGGCUUAAGAGAAAAAUCUACUGGAUUGACACAACCCUUUCUCUUAGGGACGGAGCCAGCAUUGUGCAGACUUAAUUAGGAUGGAGGAACCAGACGGAAAGCUAAGCCAGUCAGGCUACAGCCACUGAGUUCCUGAAUCACGGAAAUCUUGCUUAGAGAGCACAUUUGGAGCAGAAGCUGCAGAGAGAGUCUUCCUCAUCAAGCAAACCAGGCUCAGCAUAAGGCAAACCAGGAGAGAAAGUUCUACGGACUUCCAUUUGGUUCUUCCUACCACAUGAGCCACUACUCCAGGACCAAAGGCCAAUAUAUGUAUUCUGCGAAGUGAUGUGUAUAUUACAGGCAUACGCUUGUAACUGGGGACCUAACCACAAAAUGUGUUUAAGGUCUCCAUGGGCCUAUAGAAGGGGAAGAACUAGGGUAGAUACUCUAUGUAUUUUCCAACUCCUAUAAGCCCUAUUCUGACAAUGGCUUUCUAGGUCUCCAGUAAUAAUGCUGAAUUUAUUUAUCCAAUGUCCAAUAACCCCCAAAAUAUUUGGCUAUUUUCCUUUCCACAAUCCAUUUAUCAUGAUGAAUGUCUUCUGGUUCCUUCAGGGAAAUCUAAGAGGAAGAAUCACAAACUUGUAACAGGUCCUUAGCCUGGAGGGUACCUAACCUCUCUGUAUUGGUGUACAUAUAGACAGACUGCAGCCUGAAAAUUGGAUGGGGGUCUUGGAUUAAUCAUGUUUUUUAUUUUCUGUAUCUUACAAUGUUUUGAGAUCUUAAAUAUCAUGCUGUCAGGGACAGACUGCCCUUCUGGGGCUAGCUAAUUGUUAGAAAUAGCACAGGGCUCGGCAGGAAGCACAUCUUUCAUAUGCAAACAACCAAUGUGGAGUCUACAUGUCCCCCUUCCCUCCUUAACUAAAUCUGUC